UUAUUACUCCCUCCGUUCCAUAAUUCUUGUCGAAAUAUUACAUGUAUCUAGACAUUUUUUAGGAAUAGAUACAUCCAUAUUUGGGCAAAUUUGAGACAAGAAUUAUGGAACGGAGGUAGUAGUUU
rnacentral:pre_miRNA from 1 species